CGAAGUUGGUGGCGAAAGCCCAGGCGUUGUUGUUGACGGGGUCGGCGAGGUGGUCGGCGAGGUUCUCGAGGGGGCCCUUGCCGGUGACGAUGGCCUGGACGAAGAAGCCGAACAUGGAGAACAUGGCGAGGCGGCCGUUCUUGAUCUCCUUCACCUUGAGCUCGGCGAAGGCCUCGGGGUCCUCGGCGAGGCCCAGGGGGUCGAAGCUGCCGCCGGGGUAGAGCGGGUCGACUAUCUCGCCGAGCGGGCCGCCGGCGACGCGGUAGCCCUCGACGGCGCCCAUGAGCACCACCUGGCAGGCCCAGAUGGCGAGGAUGCUCUGGGCGUGGACGAGGCUGGGGUUGCCGAGGUAGUCGAGGCCGCCCUCGCUGAAGAUCUGGGAGCCGGCCUUGAACCACACGGCCUCGCCGAACUUGACGCCGUUGCGGGCGAGCAGCUCGGGGAAGACGCAGCCGAGCGCGCCGAGCAUGGCCCAGCGGCAGUGGAUGACCUCCAGCUCACGGUUCUUGGCGAAGGUCUCGGGGUCAGCGGACAGCCCCGCGGUGUCCCAGCCGUAGUCGCCGGGGAACUCGCCGGUGAGGUAGCUCGGGGGGUCGCCGGAGAGCGGGCCGAGGUAGAGCACGCGGUCGGAGCCGUACCACGGGCUGCUGGACGCCGCCACCUUGGGCUUGCCCGCCGUCUUGCGCAUGGUGAUGCGGCCCUCGCCGAAGGGCGCCGCCCUGGAGGCCUUCACCGGGGUGCCGGCCAUCGCCGGGGAGGAGAGCGCCAUGGUCGCCGCGGCCGCCAUCGCUCGCUGCGUGCUAGCUAGCUAGCCUUGCUUCGAGUGAGCUGAGGCUGGCAGUGACAGUAGGAGGCGCUGGUGGUCGUUGGUGGUGAGGAGUGAAGCGGGAGCGCGCCGGGUUUAAAUAGGAGGAGGGAGCGAUCGGGUCCUUAUCCCGGGGAAUCUUAUGCCGAGUCGCCAUUGGCGCGCGGGGCGCGAGGCGGGCGGAUGGGGCGGCUGAGGUGGCCGCGCGGUGGCCACGGGAGCGGCGGAGGUCGGGAUUUUUUGCGGGGUUGUGGUGGAUUUGGCGCGGUGGAGAUGAGCCGCGAGGGCGACGGUGGGUCGCGGCCGCAGCCCACAUGGCCGCGUGUGGGGCGGCUCGCCGAUGUGGCCGCGCGCUGGCCAGGGGAUCUCCUGCUCACCGCGCCGGGCGGAAGGGGACGGAGGGCGAUGAGUUUGGCCGUUGCGCGCGGUGCAUUCUGAGGCGUGCCGCUGGCCGGAGGACCCCGGGAAAGAGAUAUCUGCCGUUGGCAGGUUGUGCCGGCGACCUACGUGGCCGACAUCUACUGGUUUCACGACUUCACGAGGUGCCCAAUCGGAACGGGUUCAGGACUAGCUCGGAACUGCCGUUUUAUUUUUCGAUUUGCACAUGCAUCAUGUAAAGAUCCUCUGCAAUGGUUGAAGUUUAAAAACUUUUAUCUUUAAAACCGUUAAUUCAAUCGAUGAUCUCUUUUCAUCGUUGACUUUGUCACGACAAGAUCUUCGAAACUAGAUCUCAUGUUGACAUGUUUCGACAAACUUUUUUUUUCUUCCAUAAUUGCUACAUUUUUCCACUCACUUGCUAUAUUAUUAACCACUUACUUGCUCAAUAAAAAUAACUUAAUUGCCAUAUUUUUUUAUGUCGUUUCGUGCAAAGAUUAUCGAUGCUUAUAAAUGCAGUCCCCAAAAUGUUUUGAUGUGUUUGUCAUUUUUAUUCUACUAAGUUGUCAUGUGGUCUCAUAAAAGCUUGUAGGUGCUUAUAAAAUCACAGUUUCUACAUAUAUUUUUUGUGCUUGUCAUUUUAAUCCUACCUCGUUAUCAUAUUGUCCCAAACAACUUGUGAGUCAUUGUAAAAAAAAUAGUUGUUACGGUGUUUGCUGUAUUUAUCUUUUGAAUUCUAUGCUCAAUUGUUAUGUUUUGUGGUAAUAAAAGGACAUUUGAUUGUUUUAAAACGUAGUUGUGCUAGUGUUGUGUUGUGUCGGUCAGUUAAAUUCUAUUAAAAUGAUAUGCUUUUAUAUCAUGUAUAAUAAAAUAUGUUACAAGGCUUUUGUACGAAAUAAUAUUAAAAAGUGACAAUCAAGUUAUUUUUUUAGGCAAGUAAGUGGUUACUAAUAUGGCAAGUGGGUCAAAAAAUAUGGCAAGUAUGAACAGAAAAAAAAAGUUGACGAAACAUAUCGAUAUGGGAUCUAGUUUUGAAGAACUCGUCGCGAGAAAGCCAAUGAUGAAAACGGAUCAUCGAUUGAAUUAACGGUUUUGGAGAUAAAACUUUUUGAAUUUCAAACAUAAAAAAGAAUCGCGGGUUGUCCUCCCGCCGCACGGCAAAGCAGCGCUGCGCAUGCUAUCAAUUAGAUUUUUCCUUUAUUUUUUAUUUCUUACCGGCAAAACGAUCCGUAUGUUGAAACGGAAAAAAAAUCAUAAUCUUUAAUGAACAUGAACAUAUUUUCCUGCAUCAUCAAGAUAAAAAAAUAUCACUCUCAUUUUCAUGAAAUCGUGGAUAGUUUUUAAAAAUACAGAACAUAUUAAACUCAUGAACAUAUUUGCAAUCGGGAAUAUGUUUCAAAUUCACAGACGUUUUUACAGAUUUUUGAACAUUUUCAAAGAUCAUGAACAUGUUAUACUAUUUUCACACAUUUUUUAAAAUAUAGGAAAAAUAUUAAACAUUUUUCCUGAAUUGGCGAACAUUUUUCUAGAACCGAAGAUCACUUUUUUGGAAAUUUGUCGGCCAAUUUCUGAAAUUCACCAACAUUUUUUUGAUUUUAAAAUUAUUUUUUGAGUUCCAUGAUCAUUUUUUGAAUCAGCGAACAUUUUAUGAAUCAUAAACUAUUGUGUAAUUCACGAUCAGUUUUUGAAUUUUCUCGAUAUUUUUCAAUUUAAGAACAUUUUUUGAAUUGUAUUUUUUUCAAUUGAUUAUUUUGUUAACAUAUGAACGUUGAUAACAAAUCAUGAUUUUUUUUUGGAUUUUCCGAACCUUUGCUACCAAAAUUAUGAAAUUUUUAUGAAUAGGUGUUAUUUAAAAUUGCAAAUAUAUUUUUUAAUCCACAGACGUUUAGAAUUAUUAAACAUUCUAUUACUAAAAAUGUAUUUAAAAAAUUCGGAAUUUGUUUGAAGUCCUGAAUUAUUUAAACUAGAAAGAACAAAGACGGAAAAGGAAAACAAAAUUUAGAAAAUAGGACACCCAGAUAUGGAUCAGCCCAAACAAGUGCGACGUGUUUUCUUCCAGCACACAGAGCACAGUGUAAGAGGUUCCUACUUGAUGGGCCAGCCCAAACGGGGAUUCCCUUUGUGAAAUGUUUGUUAUCACUUGUGGCAACGCUAGGUAAUAUUUUACAACUUUAAAGGUAAUUUAUGUGAUGCACCUUAAGAAGCACUAAUGCCUUUAUUAAUAUAGGUAUAUAUAUAUGCAACAGACUGUUUACACGUGCAAUCAAGUUUUGCAAGUCUUGGGCCUAUAUAUAUAUAUAUAUAUAUAUAUAGGCCCAAGACUUGCAAAACUUGAUUGCACGUGUAAACAGUCUGUUGCAGUUACUUUGGUUGUAGCCUAGAGAUGUGAAAUGUUAUUUCAACCAACCAGAAGAGAGUGCUUGAUACUUGUGAUCUGCAUUGAGUUUUUUAUAAAGAGGAAUGGAUGAUGCAUCACAGUAUAAAUGGUAAAUUGUAAUGCGUGCUCAAGUUCCGCAACACACCCAAUACAAUGACAAAUUGCAUAGGCGAACUAGUUCGGCGAAGAGAUGUGAUACAAGUGUAGUAUGGAUAGUAUAAAUAUAUUUUUAUAAUCCGAAUAAGUAAAAAGAGCGAGGCAACAAGUAGUAAACAACGAGAAAAACGGUAUAUUAAUGUUGGAAUUAUGCCCUAGAGGCAAUAAUAAAUAUAGUUAUUAUUAUAAUUCCUGUAUCAAGAUAAUAGUUUAUUAUCCAUGCUAUAAUUGUAUUGAAUGAAGACUCAUUUACAUGUGUGGAUACAUAGACAAAACACCGUCCCUAGCAUGCCUCUAGUUGGCUAGCCAGUUGAUCGAUGAUAGUCAGUGUCUUCUGAUUAUGAACAAGGUGUUGUUGCUUGAUAACUGGAUCACGUCAUUGGGAGAAUCACGUGAUGGACUAGACCCAAACUAAUAGACGUAGCAUGUUGAUCGUGUCAUUUUGUUGCUACUGUUUUCUGCGUGUCAAGUAUUCAUUCCUAUGACCGUGAGAUCAUAUAACUCACUGACACCGGAGGAAUGCUUUGUGUGUACCAAACGUCGCAACGUAACUGGGUGACUAUAAAGAUGCUCUACAGGUANNNNNNNNNNNNNNNNNNNNNNNNNNNNNNNNNNNNNNNNNNNNNNNNNNNNNNNNNNNNNNNNNNNNNNNNNNNNNNNNNNNNNNNNNNNNNNNNNNNNUCCUCGCCUCUAGCUCGCGCACCCCUCGCCGGAGUCGGCACCAGAGAGCUUCACCCAGGAGCUCCUCCAUCGCCCCCCCCUGCACGCUUUCCCCCUGCCGAGCCCACCUCACCCCGCCACCACCUCCCCACCACUCGGCCCCCUCCUCCACCACCCCUCCACCCCGCUGCUGCUCCUCCCCAUCACCACUACCAGGCAGCCAGGAGCUUCCCCGUCGGCUCCCCCACAUGCAGGCUCCCUCCUCCCCCUUCGGCCCUCCCCCCAGGAGUCUCCACCGGCCCCUUCCCCACCCCUCGCCGGCCCCUACCCCACCCCACCGGAGCUCACCCCGUGCACCCCCUUCCCACCUCGGCCACAAUAGCCAGCCACGGGAGCAGCUCCAGCCACGGUAAGGCUCCACUCCCCCUCCUGUUUCUUUUUUGUUUUUAUGUAGUAGCCCUUAGAUCCAUAAUCUACGGUGUAGAUUAGGAAGUACUUACCCCUUCGGUUUUCUAAAAAGAACCGGUCCAUCAGUUAAGUGAACCGAAGCAUUUUCUUAUUUAGCGGCCAUCCGCUGUUUAGUCUAUGCAGCAAACACCCCUUAGCCAAUCAGGGACUGCCACGUAGUUAGUUAGCUUUUAUUCUGUUUUUUUUUCAGAUUUAGUUCAAAAACAGAAAGUUCCAAUCUUGUUUAGCCCAUAACUUUUGAUCCCGAAGUCCAAUGAUAGUGAUUCUUUUUCCAGUAGCUCACAAAGUUCCUGUAGUUUCUAAAAACAUAUAAUUUGUAUAUGUUUGAAAUUUUCGAAUAUAAGUUAGAUCAGAUUUAGUUUAAACAUUGUUUUGCCUAUUCCAGGAGUUUAAAAAUAUCUUUUAAUCUGAUUCCUUUUGGUACUGAUCACUAGUGAUCCUAUUUAUAAGUGGUAAAAAUUUCCAAUUUGUUUGAGUAUAUUAGCUCACUGUUUCUUGUGAAACAAUUUCUGUUUCAUCUCUUUUAGGAUUUCGGCUAAUUCCUUUUCUACUUUUGUUUUAAAAUAUUUUCUUUAUUAUUUCAGAAACAUUAUUGUUUUGUUUAUGUUAGUUAACAGUAGUUUUGGAACAAGUUUUUAUUUUAUUUUUAUUUGUUUUCAUGAAAUCAAUUCUAGUUCCUUAUUAACUUGCAAUUGGUUUCCGCACUGUUUCAAAUCCCGUUUGGGAAUACUUUCAAAAAGUUUUGUGAAAAAUACUUUAUUUUAUCUUAGUUAAACUUAUAUCUUAGUUCCUUGUUAUUAUUUUCUGUUAGACAAAAACUAGUUAGUGUUUGAUGUAGAAGAAGACUCCUAGUUUAGUAAAGUUUCUUUCGGAUUCUUAUUCGCUCUCUCUUUUGUUUUGAUUGCUAGAAUGAUUGCUAGUAUGAGUGCUUAUGUGAAUGAUAUGUUUGUUAUAUAGAUUCCCUCGGAGAGUGACGAGUAGUCUAUCAAGUUAUUUUCUCGAGAAAUUCUUCUUCGUCAACAUCACCAGGCAAGUCACUUUGAUCAUACUAUCACCUAUGUUUUAUGCAUCGUAGUUCUACCAUCCUAUGCCCAAAUUGCAUGCUGCUUAAGUACUUGGAAAUUUUAGUAUAGGUUGUAGUAUCAUGUGGUAGGCACCCAACAACCCCGAUACUUGGCCCCGGGACGACAAAUUUCAUAUUGCUAUGCUUGAGGAGACGGGAUUUCGGUUGAGUGCAUAACACAAGUGAUGCGAGGUUGAUUAAAUAAUCAAGACCGGUUAAGACAAGAUUUUCAAGAUCUUGGACACAAUGCAACUCUGGGUGAAGGACGGUUGAUCGGCUCCCUGGAGAACCCAGUGGAUGACCCGGGAUGCUGGAGAGGCCAUGACAUCCUGCGGAAAGCUUCACCCAGGCUCAAAGAGACGGACGGAUAUUUUCAAGACCCAAGGCUUACCUGCACAGCCACAAGUCAUUAUGGGCUCUGGCUUGGUUGGACAACGCGGCGACUCUGGACAGGCGGUGCUAGCAGAUGUAGAAGAAUGGUAUGAAUGGAUGGGCACCGACAGGGAUUCAGAGGGACCCGUUGAAAGACCAUGUUUUGAUCAUCCGGUCUUCAAACACCCUGAAGUGYGAGGACAUACACGGAGGCGAUCAAAUCUUGUGGGGAACGUGUGCAAAACUCUACAGAGUACUCAAACCUAAUCGAUUAGCCGUGUCCACGGUCAUGGACAACUUGAGCCAAAGGAACUGAAGUUAUCUGGAUUUCUCAACACCAUUAUAUAUAUUUGAUGAGGGUAAUUAUUGACAACUCGGGUACGAGAACUGGUUGGCGGAACCAUCUCGUUAACAACCAACCUUGUAGUAAUAUUUUUCUUUUAGCCCUCUUGAUGUUGGAGAAAACUUGCUUUUCGCUAAAAAACUUAUAGCCCCAGCUGCCAUAAAUGCAUAUAGUAUAGAUGAUUACUUUUCACCCCUCUCUUAUGKGACUUGCCAGCAUAUUCAAUAUGCUGACCUACACGGCURCAACAUCUUAUGUUGCAGAUAUUUUUCUUCGAUGAGUAAGAGUACGAUUCAGGGUUACGGUCAACCCUCAACUUGCCGUUGGUGUUUAUUGGGACUCCACUCCCUUGACUGCUUCCGCUGAGAUAUUUAAGGUAUACAUCAGUUUUACGCUAUUUACAUGUGAUUGCACUUUGAUAUAUACAUUGAUGUACUCUGUGUGCCAGCAUACUGAUCCACGGAUGGCACAGAAACACAGAGGCUUGACUCGUCUUGAGUCGGGUCGCUACUGAAAUGGUAUCAGAGCACAUAUUGACUGUAGGACGUGACCCUAGAAACUAGAAAUUUCUUAGGAAAGGAUCUCUCAAAAAUUUUAUUUUCAACAACACCUUUUACUUCUCAUCUCUUCUGAUUUCAUCGAAUGUUCCCUCUCACCUCAAAUAGUUAGACAAUACCCUUACCCCUUUGACCUCAUGAAUAAUCAACGGAGUUCUACUUCAAAUUAAAGAGGAUUUCCUCAUGCAAUUGAAGCUACACCAAUUGAAGACUCUCAAGACCCGAAGAACUUGAAGACCCCGAAACGUUCGAAUAUUUAUAUGACCAUUAGAAGUCCAAACCCCUGUUAUAUACCCACGUUAGAUACGAUGAUUUGUGAGCCGUCAUUGGUGUGUGUUUUUCGAUAGCCACAAAUAAAACCCAUUCUCAAAAAUAUUGUUUGUAUUGUGUGUAUCUCCCUCCCUCUCUUACCCGUCUCAUCCCCAAAACCUCAACCCUACCAGAUGGAGUAUGAAGCUGGACUUGUAGUCUCUGGACCAAUGACCCAGCUAGAGGCUGAAAUAUGGACUCAGAACAUGGAGAACCACUUCGGGAGCAACUUGAUCUCAAGGAAGUAUGAAGUGGAACACGCUCUCUAGUACUUUACCCAAAGUGCUGCAAUCUGGUGGAAAAUGCACCAUGCCAUACAAGGAUUUAGUGGAGCAGAAACCUGGGACGAAUUCAAGAACACCCUGUUAAGAUCCCGUCUCAUUCGGAAGUGCUAUGAUAAUCCGAAGGAGAAGACUUGUGCAUGCAAGAUCUAUGGAGAAAUAGGACACACCCAGGAAGAACACAAGGAUCGAUGCACUCAUUGUGAAGAAAAUCACCCAGCUGAGGAGUGCCCAAGUAGUCAGGUGACUUGUUUCCUUUGUGAAGGAACCACCCACUACCCAGCUCAGUGUCACAUUUACCCCAAGGUGCAACAGGUUGUCAAGCAGCAGAAAGAUGCAGUGAAGGAACCCCUCAAGAAGAAGAUUCUAGAAGAACCGAUGAUGAACGAAAAUAUUGAAGACCCUGAUGGACAAGGUCUGACCAGAUUUUUCUCCAAUGCAUGUUACUCAUGUGGAGAAGAAGGACAUUAUUCACAGGAUUGCACGAAGGAAAGCCAAGAGUAGCUGGGAAACUUCCCGACGGAAGAAGUGGAGUUUGAUCCACUUGAAAUAGAAGAACUGGCCAAAAUAAAGGAGUCCAGAAAGAAGAAAAAGUACCCUCGGAAGAACCAAAUCUCUGCAGACAUAGACCUGAGUCAUGUCAGAUGUUACAAGUGUAUGAAAUUUGGCCACCACAAAUACAUGUGCUCAGGAAGGAAGCCGGAAAUCCAAGGAGCAAAAGAAAAAGCUAAGAGGCCUCGAGACUUGUCAGAACUCAUUUGCUUUCGUUGCAAGGAAGCAGGACAUUUUGCUAGCGAUUGUCCACAAAGGAAGAAAGCUAAGAAGGAGUAGUUAAGUUUUGACCGCGGCACUUAGUGUAAUAUGAAUAACUCUUGUUUUUCAUGAGAUCAUGGAGUGAAAUUUUGUAAAGAAGUCCCUGAGAUUGUAAUAACAUCAUGAAUAAAUGGAAUUUAUUGUCUCAUGAUUGCCUAUGUUGAAACUGUAUGCGUUGUUUCUCUGCGAACAAAGAUCUCUGAACAUUUAUGAGGAUAUGAGAAAAUAUGGUCUAUGCAUGCAUGAGUAUUAUUCAUUUUAAGUGUGGUAGUAAUCGGUAAACCCACAGGAUCCACUGAGUAGGAAUGUACCAUGAUUACCAAGGAGACACAUACAUUCCUCUGAGUACCUAUUUACUGACACCUACAGAUGACACCUCUCUACGAGUCAUUCCUCAAGGGCCCAGAAACGAUCAUGACCCUGACCAGUGACCAUGAUUACCCGAAAAUCCUGAAGGACAUGAUGAAGCACAUUCACCUUGAAGGAGAUGCAGUCUACAAAGGCUACCCAUUUAUGGAAAAUUGAGUGGAACUUUGGUACGUGGAAGUACACCUCCACCAUGUGAAAGGAGUUUGUCCAAAGACUAUGGGGAAAUACUUUUUCAUUUCACGUGUACCGCGAGCAACCUUCUUUGAUGCUGUUCGUGAAGCUGCCAUGGAAGCCAUACGUCAGAUUGGAGAAAUACUUGAAGCAAGACUCCGUCAUACCCAGGAAUACCUGAGUGAGGUACGUGCGUAGAUGAUGGAGAUGAAGCUCAUGACCACCAUGAUGAAGCGAAAGAUGGAUGAUUUCAAGGAGUACCUCGGAAAGUUCGAGUGGAAGUACCUCCAAGAGAGACAGAUGAAUAAAGUUGGCAGAAAUGCUUGACCAUACCGAACAAUGUGGAUGGCAGCAUUUGUAAUAAAUUACUUUUGAGUUAGAAUUUUGAAGAAAGCAAGGAUGUAAUAAAGGAUAGAUUAUGUAAUGAAUAUGAUUUAUGGAAGAAGCUAUGAUGGAUCAGCAAACGUUUUCUUAGGAGCAUACGAAAGCCAGAGAGUUGUGGAGAUACGAUAGAUGUUUCGUUCAGCUUGCAGAACCAAUGGUUUAUCCGAACUUCGUUCGUGGACAAGAGAAACUCUGCAACGCUUGUGAGGAUGCCCAAGUGUUAGAAUGCGAGAUUCGCUAAACCUUAUACAGAGAAAUGAUUUGGGUGCGGAAUGGAUCGAUCACCAUGACGACUUACUCUUAUCAUUUAUCUUGCUAUUCAGAAUGGUAAAUCUGAGAGACUUACCCAUAUAGAGAGAUGACGUUCUUUGAAGCUUUUGUUUAAGACUUAGAGUGGUAUAAGAAAAGCCCAUGCACAUGGCACUUGUUGACACGCGUAGGAAAUUUUACGAUGAGAAUGAAACCAAGACCCCACUCUCUGCAAGAUAACCACAAAUGGUAUACCACCAUGAGAACCAUCGAUAUGUUAUUUAGAAUUGACCGCGAGACUGUCAGUUAAGAAGACCCAGUAAAGGAAGAAGCUUAUAUCAACGGAAGAACUCUCGAUUUUGAUGGAAAACGUUAUGAAUGUAACGAAAGAGCUUCACCAGAGGAGUUAGUAUGAAGACUGUGAGGAGUCAGAUGCCAAAACCCCACCGGAUUGUCAAAAAUCUUAUGGGACAAGUAAUCUUCAUUUUAAGUGUAGUAGCAUCCCACUUUGCUGGAAGUUGGAUUUGUUAGAAGACCCCCAAACCCUAACGUUUCUUUCUAGCCUCUUCGAAUCUCGAGGACGAGAUUCAUUUUAAGUGUGGUAGGUUUGUAACAUCCCAAAUUUUGGAAUGUUAAAAUAAUUAUUAGAUUGUUUGUUUGUUUGCUUGAGUGAUUGAAACUUGUGUGAAAUUUGAAACUUUUCAAAAACUUUUGAAUGAUAGGGAAUAAAAUGACUUUCCCCAUCUCUGAUGAAUUCAAAUUCAAUCUUUUAAAAGAAAAGAGAGAAGAUGACAUGACUUCUUCAACUAUAAAGAAUUUGAACGGAGUUUGCAUUUGAAUCCUUUCAAAUUAUUUGCCCUUGCUUCUAUAUUUUUCUUCCCCGAGAAAAUGCCCCGACAAAAUUCUUGCACGCAUGAAAGAGCGGAGGAAAAUGACCCUCCAAAAACCAGGGCCAUUGAUUGAAAUAUUUUGAGCCAAGAAAAAACCAAAAUUUAAUUUGAGAAAAUAAUUGCAAAAAUAAAUAAUGCUUUUAGGGAUUUUUUGGAAAAACAUUUUUUUAAGUUUUCAUUUUGGCCGUUGAAAAAUGCCCAUCAUUUAGAUUUUAUUUUUCUGAUAAUUUUAGUAUAUAGAAACCUUAUAUUCCGAAUUGAUUUGAUUUGCCUUUUAUCGUUUUAGUUUCCUAGUUUUGAAAAAGGAAAGAAAUCGUGUUUAAAUGGAAAUAAACGGUCGCCCAUUAAAACCUUUCCAAAAACUGGCCCAACAGGAUCUUCUUCUUCCUCUAUCUCCUUCCUCACGUGCAUAGGACCUUCCUUAGCCAUGGACAGAGAAAUCCUCACUUCCGGAAUUCGCGAAGUUCUUUCCCUCCUAGCCUCUCCCGUCGCCCCUAUAAGAAGGCCCCGGUCCUCCUCGUUCCAUUCCCGUUGGAAUCGCCGCCUCUCCCCACCUCCUCCCCCCCCCCUGUGGACCUCGGCGGAGUCGGCCACAGGAACUCGCCGGCGACCUUCCCCAUCGCCCCUGCACCCCCUCCCCACCCCACCGACUUUCCCCAUCGCCCCUGCACCUCCUCCACCACCCCACCCCGUCGCCCCCCUGCAUCCCUCCCCAUCCCCACCGAGCUCCCUGCCAGGAGUUCCCCGCCAAGACGCUAGGAGCACCGGAGCAGCCCCUGACGCCCCUCGCCCCUGCUCGACCAGGAGCUCCCAGGAGCCUCGCUGCCACUCCCUACGUCGCCCGCACCCCCCGCCGGCGACCCCACCCCGCCGGAGUUGCCCCCCCCCUCGCUGGAGUGCCUCCUCCUCGCCACUGCUUCUCUGGAGCACGAGGUAACUACCUCUCCUUUACYUUUUUUCUUUUUCUUUUUUUUCKUUUUAMUUAUACCAUUAGAUCUAGAAUCAACGCGGCAGAUUAGAAGCCCAGAUACCCUUUCGGUUUAGUUAAGAAAACCACUCAGAUUUCUAUUACAUUACUUUAGCCAAAGAGGUUUUAUUAGAUUUCGGCCGUCUGCUUAUAUGUCUCGCAGCAAACACCCCCUUAGCCAAUCAGAGAGCACCACGUGGACCCCCUGUUCACUAGUUGGAUUUUUUCUAUUUUCAGUUUAAUUCAAAAACAGAGGCAGAUUCAAUUUUCUUUUGAUCAUAACUUUUGAUCCACAACUCCAAUGGAGCUGAUUAUUUUUCCAGUAGAUCACAAUUUAUCUGUAGUUUUUAAAAACAUAUAAUUUGUCUAUGUUUGAAAUUUUCAAAUUUGAAUUAGAUCAGAUUUAGUUUAAACCUUGUUUUGCUUAUUCCAGGAGUUUAAAAAUAGCUUUUAAUUUGAUUCCUCUUGCUACUGAGCACUAGUGAUCUUAUUUAUCAGUGGUAAAAAUUUCAGAUUUAUUUGAGUAUUUUAGCUCAUUGUUUCUUGUGAAACAAUUUCUGUUUCACCUCUUUUAGGAUUAUGGUUAUUUCUUUUUUGUAAAUUGUUUUUAAAUUAUUUUCUUUCAUAUUUCAGAAACAUUAUUGUUUUGUUUAUGUUAGUUCACAGUUGUUUUUCAACAAGUUUUGAUUUUAAUUUAUUUGUUAUCAUGAAAUCAAUUCUAGUUCCUUAGUAACUUGCAAUUGGUUUCUCCACUGUUUCAAAUCCCGUUUGGAAAUACUUUCAAAUUGUUUUGUGAAAAAUACUUUAUUUUAUCUUAGUUAAAUUUAUAUCUUAGUUCCCUGUUAUUAUUUUCCGUUGAACAAAAACAAUUUAGUGUUUGAUGUAGUAGAAGACUCGCUAGUCUUAUUUGAAGUUUCCUUCGGAUUCCUAUUCGCUCUCUCUUUUGUUUUGAUUGCUAGAAUGAUUUCUAGUACGAGUGCUUAUGUGAAUGAUAUGUUUGUUAUAUAGAUUUCAUCAGAGAGUGACGAGUAGUCUAUCAAGUUAUUUCUCGAGAAAUUCUUCUUCGUCAACAUCACCACGCAAGUCACUUUGAUCGUACUAUCAACUAUGUUUUAUGCAUCAUAGUUCUACCAUCCUAUGCCCAAAUUGCAUGCUGCUUAGGUACUUUGAAAUUUUAGUAUAGGUUGUAGUAUCAUGUGGUAGGCACCCAACAACCCCGAUACUUGGCCCCGGGACGAGAAAUUUCAUAUUGCUAUGCUUGGGCAGACGGGAUUUCGGUUGAGUGCAUAACACGAGUGAUGCGAGGUUGAUUAAAUAAUCAAGACCGGUUAAGACAAGAUUUUCAAGACCUUGGACACAAUGCAACUCUGGGUGAAGGACAGUUGAUCCGCUCCCUGGAGAACCCAGUGGAUGACCCGGGAUGCUGGAGAGGCCAUGACAUCCUACAGAAAGCUUCACCCGGGCUCAAAGAGACGGAUGGGUAUUUUCAAGACUCAAGGCUUACCUGCACAGCCACAAGUCAUUAUGGGCUCUAGCUUGGUUGGACAACGCGGCGACUUUGGACAGACGGUGCUAGCAGAUGUAGAAGAAUGGUAGGAAUGGAUGGGCAUCGACAGGGAUACAGAGGGACCCGUUGAAAGACCAUGUUUUGAUCAUCCGGUCUUCAAACACCCUGAAGUGCGAGGACAUACACGGAGGCGAUCAAAUCUUGUGGGGAACGUGUGCAAAACUCUACAGAGUACUCAAACCUAAUCGAUUAGCCGUGUCCACGGUCAUGGACAACUUGAGCCAAAGGAACUGAAGUUAUCUGGAUUUCUCAACACCAUUAUAUAUAUUUGAUGAGGGUAAUUAUUGACAACUCGGGUACGAGAACUGGUUGGCGGAACCAUCUUGUUAACAACCAAGAAUGUAGUAACAUUUUGCUUUUAGCCCACUCUUGUUGUAGGAGAAAAACUUGCUUUUCGCUAAAAACUUAUAGCCCCACCUGCCAUAUAUGCAUAUAGUAUAGAUGAUUACUUUUCACCCCUCUCUUAUGUGACUUGCCGGCAUAUUCAAUAUGCUGACCUACACGGCUGCAACGUCUUAUGUUGCAGAUAUUUUUCUUCGACGAGUAAGAGUACGAUUCAGGGUUACGGUCUACACUCAACUUGCCGUUGGUGUUUAUUGGGACUCCACUCCCUUGACCGCUUCCGCUGGGAUGUUUAAGGUAUAUAUCAUUUUUACGCUAUUGUACAUGUGAUUGCACUUUGAUAUAUACAUUGAUGUACUGUGUGUGCCAGCAUACUGAUCCAGGGAUGGCACAGAAACACAGAGGCUUGACUCGUCUUGAGUCGGGUCCCUACAUCACCUUAGCUGUGCCAAGGGAACGAAAUCUGGUUGAUCGAGCGAGAGACAUUUAGCACUCCGCUUCUACUGUUCUCCUUGAUGUACUAGCACAAACCAAUUAUAGAUCAGGCUUGAUAUCUAGCACAUCAAGUAUAGGUCGGAAUUCGGGGCAUCAAAGGGAGUCCAUGAGGAAUAACUUCCAAAAUAAGUCAUACAAACCCUCACAGGGAGAUGGCUAAGAUUGUUGAUAGAAAAUAUAAUAUCAAAUCUUCCGCCUAGGUGUGUUAGCCACAACAUCACUUUACCGAGUUACAUAGAGACCAAUAUUAUAAUUCUUGGGGAAAGUUCCAACCAUUUUAACUGCCUGAGAUUCAGCUCCGGUUGGUGACACGAUGCUUCAGACUCAGCAUGUGUGAAAAGAAAGUUUGCAACACAAAUCGAUGGUAUAACGUUGCAAGAUUCUCAGGAAAUGAACUACGAAAGCCAACUCCAAAACAUGAGCUGGGUUGCAAGACACAUGUGAACACACUGCCCAAGACAAUGAUGACCACAUGAAAAGUCUUACAACAAAACACUACCGAGUUCUGGAUGGGGACCAUUAUUGCGGAUAACGAAACCAUGUGCAAGUCCGUUUGGUACCUUCAGGAAUGGCACUUAACUUCUUUUCCUUGAACAAAUCAAUCAGUGGCUUGGUGUGCUAGGAGAUACAUAUGGAGUGAUGAUGAUCAGUCUAUCAAACCAUAGAAUACUUCGCACAUGCAUGAUUGACUUGGGAUGAUUCCCAAGAAACAAAUUAACUUUUCUCGAAUUCACGGCAGCAACUUGCAUCAGAUGCACAUGAAUUAUGGGAAGUCACUUCUUACACCUAACAUAUACCUCGUGCUCGAGACACGAAGAUAAUGUCUACAAAGUUUCCAGGACUAGUUAAUGUCCAACAUAGAUCAUGGAACAAAUGAGAAUGUUGCCCAUGGGCUCAACAACAAUUCAUCAAGAUACCCAUAUAAAUGGAUUUCCACAACUAUGUGAGCAAGAUAAUAGCAUUGGUGAGAUCAAAGAAUACAAUAGUGUAGGCUCAAGGAAAACCCUGAGUACGAGUACGAAAAUCUUUGGUUCUGAGUUUGAUUUGACAAUAGCCCAUACUCAAAUCAAGGUUGGACAAGAUAAUAUAUGCAACAAUUGAUCACACGGAUCCACCGAUGACAAUAUAAUCUUUCUUCAAGAGUCUCACAACAGGAAAGAUAUCCCUUUAAAAUGAACUAAGUUUAGGCGAAGCUUUUAUCUUCCAACUCUCCAAGUUGUUGUUUAGCUUAACCAACUAGAUCGGGGUAUCCAACACGGAUUCUUGGAGAAAAUGGCUUAUAGAGAAACCAACUUGAUCACGAGCUCUUAUCAUAACACUCAGGAAACAACCUGGAAAUACUUCCGAGAAGAUAUUCGGAAAAUCACGAACCACCGAUAUAUUAUUAAGCUCGGGAAACAAUCUCGCUUUUCAAGGCAAGAUGAUGUGAUCAAUAGAGCAAGGGAUUGACACAAUCCGAUCCCAUCGAUUGAAAAGUGCACCAUGAAAUAUGGACUAGGUAGCACGGUCAAUCUUAGAAUGACGAUUCAAUCAUCAUCACCAUAAGAGUGAAUUUAUUAUCCAUUAGCUACCAAGCAAUAACGUUGCUAGGAGUAUUGAUUUCACACAUCAUGGUUCACUUGUCGAUAUUACAGUUACAACCAACACGGAAACCGAGGGAUGAAUAAUAAUAGCGAGAAGUAUCACUACAUGAAGAGCUCAUAAGAGAUGGUGCAAUUCGCACGACAUUCUUGACAAGAAGAGGGUAAUACUCCAAGAUAGGACAGAACAAAAGCUGGUUAGCAUUUCGAUCUGUGGAAUACAACUACUCUGACCCAAUCCAAGAAAUGGAUGAGGUACUGGAGUUUACUUCUCCCAGUCAUUCGAGAAUAGAACAACUUGACAAACCACGAAAUAGAAGACAUCGUUGACACGAAUGUACAACUACUUUUGACUAACCUCUCAAUGAUGAAGGUCAAAAUACAACUAGAUAGGGCCACCUCAAGAGCACAUGGUUUCUUGAGUUGUGGAUGCAUGGAUUAGCAUGUCGAACGGGUUCAACAUAAUUCUUCCAGAUAACCCAUGCAGAAGGGCGGAGUAGGAAGAAUCACAAUAUGGAGUAGAGAACUCAUCACGAGCACUCUUGUUAUGAUCUUUAGUUCACGGAGAACUUUUGCCAAAGAUGAUUCAUGGUGUUGGAAAAAUGAUAUACCAUGAACCUUGGGAGCUACAACAGGGUUACUAAUCAUUCUAAAGGAACUAGCAACACUAUCAACAGAGAUGAGCAGAAUGAUCCUUGGAUUCGAUGACCCAGAAAUAGAAUACCUAAAAACGAAAUAACAUCACGAGAUGUUUUUGAAAAUGAUGGCCAGAACUAUCACACUGGAAGACAUAGCACCCAUCUAGACUAUUGGGUAGUUUUCGGAGUAACAUGGUUUCCUAAUACUUCAAAAAAAACAUCGAGGUAAUGGAGUACCUCAACACAGUGAUUAGUGUGCUUUGUCUGGCCAAAAGACAUUAGAAAUAAGAGGAAGGAAGUUGCAAUUGCAACAGAUUAUUUAGAAACUUUGGAAAAGUCGGACAACAUAACGGCUGUGCGGGCAUGAAAUAUGAGGCACCCUGCAAGAAAACGAACAACAUAACAAUUGAAUUCUUAUGGAGACACUGAUCCAGGAAGAAAACAACUUUUCUAUAAGUCUCCAACAUAGUAACUCGUCAUCCUAAUGAAUACAUGAGAAAUCCUAACUAUUAAACCCCGUAGAAUAAAGAAGAGGAUGACUCAGAAUAAGAAUGACACAAGGAAAGGAGUAAAAGAGCCUUACGUUACCUUCCACAAACAAUUACCUUAUAUAACUAAAGAGUUGCUAGACUCAACAUCGACCAGUUUGGCUUGCUUAUCCUACAUGCAGUCAAUCUCUGAUACCAAAGUUGUCGGGAGCCCGAUCCUGAGUCAUAAGAACCCAACCUGUAACACAUCACAUCACUUUGCGGCCUCACGCACGGCAAACUCCACGGCUGCCACCUUACCUUGGCCCGGACCGUUUACAUCUUUUGGCUCACGUAUAUGAAUAUGUUGCUAGCGUUCAAACGACAAAGAACCUAGGUCGACAUGACUAGUUAUAAACCCAAGCGGUACAUCUGUACAGGGACAGACAUACAUAACCCAGCAAAGCAGGUGUCGAUCAACAACGUGUGUAGACGAGUCGUAGCAAGCUACAAGGACUCCAUUACACCGCGUGACAUUUCCCCGAGGGGACAGACACAACAGCAAAGAAGGAUACACGCCGGUCAAUCAAUGUGUCUAGAGCAGUAGAAAGCUACCAAGGCUCGAUAGAAGCACAAAGAGGCAUUUCCCUGUAAAGAGUACUACUAAAGGCACACAACUAGGUGUCGAAUCCCACACAUAUAAUGCAUUUCAUAACAUACACACAAUAUGCACGAUAUGUGUAGAUGCAACAUGGCAUCACAACAUAACUCUACGACUCAAGCUUUUAUUAAGGACUCAUAAGAAUCAACAUAGUGUGUUAUUACAAAAAGGGGUCCCGUAACCCGACACUCAAGUCAUACAAACAACAAGCAGAAGCAAAACAUGUCUGGGUACAGACAUCUACUAAAAAUUGUUGGAAGAGCCUGAAAAGCUACUACGACCCUACCAAAGGAGCCAGACCUUUGUCUGGGAUUCCCAAGCUAUUCCGGUCAACGUCGAACACAUCGCUUAGAACCUUAUAAUGAGUCUAAAACUUCUCUGCAAAAACAUAAAUAAAGCAACAGUGAGUACAAAGGUAAUCAGCAAGACUUACAUCAGAACUAUCUACAUAUGCAUCAUGUUUCAAUGGAAGGAUUGUGUGGUUUGAUUUCAGCAAGCCAGCUUUGACCCUUGGCUAGCCUGUACUACGACUAAAAGUUCUUUUUUUGAGGUGGGAUAGCGCACACGAGUCCACAUAUUCAUCAAUCAAAACACCACUAUGGAUUCACUCUCGUCUCCCUACGAUAAAGCCUUCCAUAGCACUCACACUUAUCUUGCAUGUUUUAGAGUAUCCAUUUAAAUUGUCUAUGUACCACGUAAUGCUUCCAAGUAGUCCAUAUCCGAGGACGUGGCUAUUCGAACAGAUUAAAUCACCCUACAUGGGUAUACUUCUUCACGCACGUUCCGACCACUUAUCACCAUGUGCAAGUCAUGCAUCUCGGCAACCUUCAAGCGGAAGCACUGGCGUGGGUGUCGGCCAUGACCGUUAACCACACAAGACCCUAGUCAAGGUUUAUCGCCUAUUUGUGACUGAACCCGCAAGGAAGUCCGGCCGAGGUUUCCUCUACGGCCCCAAACGAUGUGCGCAGUGUUCCCAAGCCCACCAUCCGGGUGCCACUUGAUACACCGUGCCACUUUGUAUCUACCGUAGAGAAGCCCACCCCGUCGGGCCGAGCUAAACACGGCCGCCAACACUUUUCCUACAAACAGCAGAAACUAGUUGCAACUCCUGGACAGAGAUCUAGGCGAUUAAUAACCCAAGAGGGUCAAUUAAGUAUCCCAAUUUGUGGUAGUAUCUUGUCUUGGAUAACAUACACAUAACUCAGUUCUUAAGGACGGUCCCAAUGAGACAACCCACCAUGUACUCCUAUAUGGCCUCUCAUCGCUACCUUUACCAAAUCGGAUUCACACUUUUACUCUCCCACUAUAGGACAUGAACACAACCAUUCUGAUUCAUCAUCCAGAUAGGUCAGACCCGACACGACUCUAAGCAUAGCAGGCAUUGUAAACAAGCAUGGAUGAGUAAGCACAACAAGACUCAAGCAGUUGCUACUCAUGUUAAGUGGUUUCAACUAUUUACUGUGACAAAAUCAGGUCAUGCAGAGGAAUGGGUUCAACUACCGAUAACAUGUACAAUUGAAUCGUGUUUGUCCUAAUGCAGUAAAAGAGAGAAGGAGCGAGAGAGAGGGUUUAUAUCAAUAUGCUCAAGGGGGUUUGCUUGCCUGACAUGUGUGAAGAUAGCAAUGAGUCUUCAUCAAUGUCAACGAUCACAUCGUCGGAAACAUCGUCUACUGAGAGGGAACAACACCGGCAAACAAGAAAGAACAACAAUUACUUCACGGAAAUGCAACACUAUGAUGCAUGCUCAAGACAUGAAAUUAAAGGUGGCAGGGCUAAUCUAUCAUUUCUUAAGUUGAAGUUGGAUUUGAAUUUGAAUUCAAAUAUCACUUCAAGCAAGGAAUUUUCCGGAUACCCUUUUAAUUGAUUUGACCUGAUGCUCAGGUACAACUUGUUUUUUUAACAUGCAUGAAGAUGGUAUUUUGAGGUAUUGAUUUUCCUUGAUCAAUGUUUGGUCAUAUCAAUUGAAGUGGAAUUCAAAUAGGUAUCAAAUUCCAACUCCAAACUAAUUAUUAAAUUUAUCCUAUUCACCAUUUGGCCUAUUUGGUGAUUUUAACUUUUUCGAACAUGCAUGAAAAUACCAUAAUCAGAUUCUUUGGUUUUUUCUGAUCAUUUUUCAUAGAUAAAUUAUUUUCAUUGGACUUACAAAUUAUUUUCUAUGAUUUUUAGAAGUUUUAGGCAUUUUCUGGAAUUAUUUUAUAAUAGAAAAUCAAUUACUGCGUCAGCACUGCGUCAGCACUGCGUCCGCAUUGCGUCAGCAGUCAACUGUCCUGGGUCAGGUCAAACCUAACAUGUGGGGUCCACACAUGAGUGACACAGUUAAAUUAAGAGAGUUAGGUUAAUCUUAAUUCUUAUUUUAGAGCUAUAGGGCCCACUGUCAGUGAGUCAUUGUUUAACUAAAUAGUUAUUAGGCGCUAAUUAAACACCUGACCGGCUGGGCCCACAUGGGAGUGGCUCAGGCCGAUGAGGUCGACGCCGGCGACCAACAGAGUGACGGGGGCUCACCGGAAUUCCUCGAUCUCGUGCUAUAGGCUUCGGAUUUGCACGCGGUUGAGUUCUACGGAUAGCUGAUGAAGCGCAACAUCCAUUCCAACCCAGCCAGGAGGUGGCUGGAAUGAGGCCGGCGACGACCUCGGGCGGUGGCUGGAGUCGGCCAUGGUAGGGCUAGUGCUAGAGGGCAGGAACGGAAGGGGAGAGCACAGGAGGAGGAGCAGGAGCUCACGGCGGUUCCAAAGGAGGCAACAGUGACGGAGGAGGAGCUCGGGGCAUGGCGAAUCGACCUCGAGGUUGCCGGCGGCCGGAGAUGGGGAGGGAGCUCGCGCUCGUCGUCUCUGGGCCCUGCGGUCCGAUUCCUUCGGCGGUGAGGUUGAGGGCGAUGCAGCUGAGCUACCGGGGAUCUUUGGAGGACUUCGGGUGGUUGGAGGUGUCGGUGAGCUCGAGCCGAGGUCGGCCAUGGCGAGAGGAAAAAGUKCAGAGGGGGAGAGAUAAGGGAGAGAGAGAGGGAGGGGCUCGGGGGAGGACGAAAAGAGAGGCACGGGGGGGGGGGGGUGGGGUUGCUAGCGCGGAGAAGGCGAGGAGAGGCUGCCACGACGAGCAGGAGGUGGCAAGGUGAGCCGCCAUGCUCAUCUUCUCCCCUGCUUUCUGGCAGGAGGAGGGAGACGAUAGGGAACCCCCCUUGGUGGGCUGGGCCUGGAGGUAAGCGUCACGUAAAUUCUCUCUCUCUUUUCCUAUUUUUGUUUUAUUUCUUUGUGGCAUUUAGAUUUAGGUUUAAAACAAAAUGUUUAAAUAUUUUAUUAAACCCUAAAUUAGUGUUAUGUGAGAGAUAAAGAUAAUCAAUGCCACAUAAUAGUUUCAACAUUUUUGAAACUUUUAUUUUAAAAGAAAACAAAAUAACUCCAUUCCGAACAAUUAUUUGAUCAUGUCAAAAAUCCUUUUCAAAAUGUUCCAGUGACUUCAAAUUUUGGGUUGACAAAUUUAUUCCUUGUCACUAUUUUCCCAAAUAUUUGGAACAUUUUCCUGGUUCCUUCUAAGGUAUUAAUUUUUAUUGCCUUGUUGCCAAUUUUUCAAAUCAUUGGGGUUUUGAUUACUUCCUAUUUUAAACAUCAAAGUUUUAUAAUGCAUGCAUGAAUGCUUGGCAAACAAAUGAAAGCUAGGGCUGUGGCAUCCAUAUAUUAUUUCACAAUGAUAUUUAGCUAUCCGAUGAUGUUUGAGUAGAUCCGUUUUGUCCUAUGGGUUAGUUGUGGUAUGAUGCUAUUGAUAUGAUUUGUAUGUUGAUAUGGUGUUGUCCUAUGGUGCCCUCUGUGUUGUGCAAGCGGAGGGAUCCCCGUUGUAGGGUACUGCAAUAUGUCCAUAAUUUGCUUAUGGAGGGUUGCUUGAGUCACAGAUGCAUAAACCCAAGUAGGUGGGGUAUGGCGUAUGGGAGUAAAGAGGACUUGAUACUUAAUGUUAUGGUUGGGUUUCACGACCUUAAUGAUCUUUAGUAGUUGCGGAUGCUUGCUAGAGUUCCAAUCAUUAGUGCAUAUGAUCCAAGUAGAGAAAGUACAUUAGAUCAUGCCUCUUCCUCAUUGCAUAUAACAAGUAUCUAUUGUAUCAUAUUCAAUUGCAUAGGGACAAUCUUUCCAUUGCGUUACAAAAAGCUUUAUGCAUCACUACCAAGUUUUUUUACUUGCAACGUACUUCGAGUUUACUUAACGCAAAGUAGUUUCAUAGUAAUUAUAGGUGGAGCAAGCAUUAGCGUGCGUAGUUUUGUAUCGGUGGUCAAUAGAACUUGAGGGAAUAUUUAUUCUACCUUUAGCUCCUCAUUGGGUUCGACACCCUUACUUAUCGAAAAAGCCAACAAAAGAUCCCCUACACUUGUGGGUUAUCAAGACUAAAUUCCAUUACGUGGAUGUCAAAGUCACAAAGUUGGCUUCAAUUGUUGAGCUCCUCCAGCAUGAGGUUGAUGCAGUGCAUAUAUCCCAUUCUAGCAGUGAUGAUGAAGAGUCUCCUCUUCCAACGACUACUCAGUUCAGGACACAGUCUAGGUCUGCAGUUGUGCCAGUGGAAGAAGCAAUACCAACUUCGUCACCUCAAGCAUCAGCGCCUUUAUCUCCAACUCCAGCUCCUGCACCUCCAGAGUCUACAGCUCCACCUCCAGGGACAUCCGCAGAAGCCUUUGCCGACGCUCUCCUGUCUACUCCAUCGACUCCUACCGGAGGAGAUCAAGCCUAUUGUGACGCUUAGUUCUAGACCUUUUAACUUUUGGGUAACUUGUUGCCAAAGAGGGAGAAGUGUAUAGAUCAAUUAGGGCUGAUAGAGAGAGAGAGCUUUGCUUUUAUUUUCUCUCAUUUUGGUUUUUCAAAACAUUUGGUCUUUUGGUCCUUUGGAUGACUUAAUCUUUACUCCAUGGUCAUUUAUUUAAUUAGACAUGGGAAAAUCUAUUACAUAUAUCAUGAUAAAUUUGUUAGAUAUAUCAUGGAAGAUACUUUAAGAUGUCACAUUGUUUUCUCUUAUUCAUACCAUGGAAAAUUUAUUUAUUAGACCAUGGUAGUUUUAUAAUAUGUAGCAUCGAAAUUUUAUCUAUUCAAACAUGGAAAGUUUAUCAUAUGUAGCAUGGCAUUUUUAUGAGUUGGACUAUGGAAAAUUUUGGAAUUCUAUUAUUUACCAUCUUUUUUUCAAAGAUAAAAUUUCCUAAAAAUAGAUUUUGCCCCUAAUUAUAAAUAUAAAAUAAUUGUCAUGUUUCUCAGAGAACAUAAUUAAUAAUUUUUUGUCGUGUUAUUAUUAGCAAAUCAAAAACAUUAGACCAUAAAAUUUUAUUAAUUAGUUCAUCAAAAAAUUGGAAUUCUUACAAUGGCCAAUUAUUAAUUACACCAUUUGCAAUUUUAUUCUAAAUUCCAUGGCAAUUUCAUUUACUAGACCAUAGAUCUUUUUUAAUUAAACCAUGGUAGUUCUAGUUUUGUAGCUACCAUUACAAUUCUAUUUUUUAGUCAAUGGCAAUUUAUUUAAUUAUACCGUGGCAAACUUAUUACAUAUAGCAAGGACAAUACUUUGUAUAUAAGAAUGGCAUAUUUUAUUGAUCAUUCCAUGGAAAAUUAUUUUAGUAUGUUCCAUUAUAAUUUUCAUAUUGCAUAUAGAUGAAAAAACAUGGAGUCAUGGAAAAUUUCUCUAUGUUUUUCAUGUACAUUUCCUAUUAGUUAUGUAUGUUUAUUUUUUCAAACAUGAAAUUUUACGGGCAUGUGACCCUUCUGUAAAAAUGAUAUACACUUUGUCGUGUCACCAAUAUGUAUUUUUCCGCAAUUUUCCCAUGUUACCAUUUUAUAUGAAUCAUGUUAGACACCUUUUUUGUGCUUGUAAUGUAAGUACCUUUAUUUUAUAUAACACAAAAAUACUUAGUUUAACUAUACAAGUUUUUCUACACAAUACCAUGAUGGUUUUUGUGUGCAUGAUGGCAAGUUUUUCAUUUAUUUUUUCUACUUAUUUUGACGCUUGGGCCGUUUUUGGGUUUUUAUUAGAGGGAAGGAAAUUAAUGAUGUUGGAAACCCAUCAACGGCUAGAAUGUUUGGACUAUGGGGUUUCCUCGAGUGAGCAAAAAAAUUCACUCGGUUAGCGUGUAGGUUUUUAAUCAAUAUUUGAUAACGCAAUCAAAUAGAAUACACACAGUUAGUUAACAUAUUUGAUCUGAUUACACUUAAUUACUUUAUUUAAUUCAAUAUAAUAUAUAUAAUCAUUUAGUUAACUAAUUAUUUUAAUUAAAGGUUAGAAUUGUGGACAUAUGAUUAUAGGAUCAAAAGUAUGUCUAGAAGGAGGUGAAUAGACUACUGGCAAAAAUUAAAGGACUAUUUUCCCAAUUUUGAUUACUAGUAGAUUCAAACUUAGCUAGAAAUACAAUAGAACCCUGAAAAUGCAUGUCUAGAGUAUAAGGAGCAGAAACAAUGCAUGCAAGUGCAACUAAUGUACAUAGUAGAGUUUGAGAGAAUCACAAACAUAAGUUGAUACGGUGUAGAUUCUUUACCAUGGUUCCAAGAAGUGGUGCUAUCAUACAUACACAUUAAUGGAGUCUUCGAUCCAUGGAGGAUCUAAUAUCACAUAGUAGAGUUGCGAGAUCCCAUGGAGGAAUCGAUUUCACGAAGAUCUCACACCCACAAAGGAUCCAUGAAGGAGCAACCUCACCUAUUCCACCAUGGCUUACGCCCAUGAAAGACUAUGCCGAGUCAGGUAGAUCUUCACAAAGUAGGAGAUCUCCAAGGCCUCACAAACAUCUUGGCCUCUGCACAAUGGUUGCAGACUUCUAAGCACUCCUGGCCGAUCUAGAAGGCACUAGCCUCCGAAAGGUAAUAGAUGGAGUUAUUUAUGAUGAACUCCUUUCUCUUGUGCUUGAAAAUAUAAUCACCGCAAAACUCAAACACUCUCAUAGAUUUUAGCUUUUGGGAGUUGAGGUUUUGGAUGAACAAAAUGAGGUGACUUGGUCUUAAACAAUUAAAGGUUGGAGUGGAAUCAUUAAUAUCAUCAUCGCUUUGAAAAAUAUGUGAUAUACAAGAACACCCCUAAAUUUUGCAUUAAUUAGAUUUGUGUUUAAAUGCAAUUGCAUAACAGAUUAGGAAUAUGAGGACCUCUUGUAUGCCGCAGACAACUUGGUGUGCACAAAUAUAAUAUAAAAAAAAACACCAAAACACAUGUCAAUGACCACCAAAGAUACACUAGAGCUUAGACGAGUAGCAUAAGUAUAGUAGCACACUACUUUGGUUCAUCACAUACAAAUAAAUGAGUUUACAAGGCAUAAAAUUCAAGUAAAGUAACAAGGAAUGUUACUCGGUAAAAUAAACGCUCCCUAACUCAAAGUUAUAUUAUAUAUAUAUCACUCCCCUUUUUAGUAGUGGGAGAGACAAGGGGGCGAGCAAGGGCCUGCCCCCCUAAUGAUCGACAAUUUAUUUAGAGGCUACAAGUAAUUACCUGCUAGAUUAAGGAAUAUAAAUACUUUCGCCCCUUAACCCAAACGAAGAUUAUGAAGAAUUACGGGCAAAAGGCCCAAAGAAAAGCCCACUCCUCAACAAGGAAUCUAUUACUUGGCCUAUGGCGUUAUCCUAAAUCAAGCCAACCCCUGAGCAUGAUUAACUUGUAACCUGAGACGAUUAGCUCUAGCGAUGGCCACUGCAUCGUGCCCUCACACUACUCGUGAAGUCGAUUAGAAUGAGGCGAAACCGGCUCCGCAACUGGCGAAUCAAGGUUGCACUCUGUCAAUUCUCAAGGGGUCCAGCCCCAAGGUUAGGAAUAUUGGGAACUACUCUAUCUACUAAUCCCUAUCAUCUCUAAUCUUGUAGGAGUUGAAAUUGUACACCCAACUUUAGUUAUUUUGACGGUGUGAUGUAUGAUUCUAAUUCACUUUCAGUUUCUUUCAUUGUUUGAUUUGUGAUGUGGUCAUGAGGGAAAACGGCUUCAAACGACAUAAAGAUUAAUUCUCUUUUUAAGUACAUUGUUUUAAGUUCUCGACCUAGAAUAAUAUUGUCAAUGAGAUUAUUGGCAAUUUUUAGCAAUCACAAUUAAGUGGACAUGACUUCUUUGAAAUUAUUGAAGGCACAAUUCCACCCUAAGGUGGUUUUCGUAAUUAAUAAAAACAUAUGUAUCAUUGAACUAAUGAUUCUAUCCAAGUAUAUUUCAGAAAAGUUCAAAGUUGCACCGGCUAAAUGGUUGUGAGUAGAAACCCCUUGGUGCAAGGAAAGGAAUAGGAUUGGCCAAACUUGAAGCAAGAGGAAUCUACAUUUUAUAUUUGUGAGAAAUCACUUUUGAGUCCAUAGGAAAGUCAGUACUAUUAAAAGGGGGUGAGGUAUUUAUGAUGAAUUGAUUGCGCAAGUGCUUAGCAAUAGCCACCAAAAAUACUCGACAUUCCUCUCACUAAAAAUCUCAGUCCAAAGCCUUUACACCAAAAUCGGUGCCACCAAGAAUUCCAUUUCGGCCCUACCGAUUUUACAAGUGAUAAUGCUUUGCCAAACCCUAAUCUCUUGGUACCACUAACUUUCACAUCGAUGCCACCGAAAGGCAAUGACCAACUCUCUAGUAACUCUAUUUGAAGAAUCAGAACUUCCGAGAUUGAAAUCGGCACCAUCGAGAUUUGGAAACUGUCCUAGGUCAUCGAAUCGGUACCAUCGAGAUAUAUAUCAGUCUCACCGAGAAUUCAAAAGUUGCCACAUUUAGUGCAACUCGAUACCACCGAGAUUCAUUUCGGUGUCGCCGAGUUGGGAAAUAAUGUUGUAAUGGUUGGAUUUGGAUAUGCCUAUAUAUAACACUCCACCACUAUUAGAGCAUAUUUCUCCAUAUGUGAUUUUGGUAAUUGAUGACAAUCCCUAUGUACUAAUGGUUGCCUUAAGAUAUAUUUGUAGGAUUUGUCCAUAGGCACUUCUUGAAGUCCAUCUGUUGGUUUCAAGGAGUUUAUGUGAUGACUAAGGUGGUAUCCAAGGUUUUAUCCAAAGAUUGGUCAUAAAGACGCAAAGUUGAUCAAGACUAAGUCAAAGAGUAAAUCAAGUUGAUCAACACACAAAGCGUACAAGAUGUACCGAGAAAGAUCAAGUGAUCCCAUGGUAUGUCAAGCAUUGUCCAUUACGCUUUGUGUACUAACCCAUGGUAUUCAUGAGAGUUCUAUGUAGGGUUAGGUGUGUUUCCAUGGGUUUGCGUCAAGAGGAAGAUCUCAUUCAACCCAUGGAAGAUUGUGGUGUGCAAGUUCAAGUGGAGCAUCAUGAAGAUAUCAUGCUUGAAGCUUGUCGUCCAUUGUGGUGGCAAUGGACUUGUGAAGAUGUGUUGAAGAGUAGCUCACCCAUAGUGGAGUAUGGAGGAAAUUUACAAGUCUUCAUCGAGCCAGCACAAUCAAGAAAGGUGGUUCAUCUUGAGGAAGUCAAGAGCAUCAUAAUCUACCUCAAGUGGAUAGCUACAAGAUAUUGGUUUGCCCUUAAUAGGUUUUUUCUAUUUUAGGAUAGAUUGUCGUAUUGUCAAGGAGGGUUCUCAAGUGAAUAGCUUGAUUGUAUCAUUCGUUGAGAGCUCAAACCAUUUGCAUCCUUGCAUCAUCUUUCUUGGUUCUUGUUUGGUUGUUCUCUUUGUGAGUUCAUGUGCAUCCUCUAUGAUGUUUUCGAUAUUGGAGUUUUUGUCGGUUCUUCAUUCAUAGAGGUUUCACAUCUCUGUAUCAUUGGCAUUUUUCUACUACAUCUUCUUGCAAUAACCAUUCGUUGAUUGGCUAACACUUAUCGUGUGUAAUCCAACAAGUUAUGGUUGUUUUUGGCUUACCUGUUUUUCACUAAGAGUUUGUACCACCCCUAAGAGAGGUUGUACCGCUAUAUUACAUUUACCGGUUGCACCGCCCCUAUGUUCUUCUGCACAUAACGAGCAGAUUUGUGGGGACCUAUUUAAGGGGAUAUUCUUCCCCAAUGGUUCCCUAACUCUUGAGCUUGUUUUUGCCCCCCAUUGUUGACCUUCUUAGAGCUUGCUAACUAUCAAUCCCUCCAAUGAUUCUUGCUCCUUUUUGAGGGAAACAAGAGAGGAGAUCUAGAUCCACAUUUCCACCAAUAACUUUCUCCUCUAUGUGAGGGGAAUCCCUUGGAUCUAGUUCUUGGAGUUCUUGGUUUUCCUCUUUGUUCUUACUCUCAUUUUCCACCAUAGCAUUAGCUGUUGUGGUGGGAUUUGGGAGAGAAGGACCUGGGCACUCCAUGUGCCCUUGCCAUUGCAUUUGGUGCAUUGGUUUGAGUUCUCCAUGGUGAUACGUGGAAGUAAUGUUUGAGAAUCUUAUUACUCUUUGGUGCUUGGUACCUUAGAGCUAGUUCUUCUUGGAUGCUUUGGCAUCCUAUAACCUUGGUGGUGCCUCGGAGCUCAAUCAUUGUGGUGUAAAGCUCCAGGCAAGCGUCGGGGUCUCCAAUUAGGUUGUGGACAUUGCCCCGAGCAUUUGAGGUUACCUUGAAGCCAUAUUCCAUUGUCGUGAAGCUUCGUGGUGUUGUUGGGAGGCUCUAAUUAAGUUGUGCAGAUUGCCCCCACCUUAUUUGUAGUUUGUACGGAUUCACUGACCUCCCUCAAGGGUCCCUUAGUAGAAUCACGACAUCUUGCAUCGUGCGAGGGCGUGAGGAGAUUACGGUGGCCUUAGUGGCAUAUUGGGGAUCAUUGUGGCUCCACACCGCUCCAAACGGAGAUUAGCAUCCGCAAGGGUGUGAACUUCGGGAUACAUCAUCGUCUUCACGUGCUUCGGUUAUCUCUUACACCCGCCCUUUACUUAUGCACUUUACUUUGUGAUAGCCAUAUUGUUUCUUGUUAUAUAUCUUUCUCUCACAUAGUUGUUUAUCUUGCUUAGCAUAAGUUGUUGGUGCUCAUAGGUGAGCCUAGUUGUUUUAGGUUUUGUGCUUCACAAGUUAACUGUUGAUUUUAUUCCGUAUUUGUUCAAGCCUAAACUGUAAUAAUUUUAAAGCGCCUAUUCACCCCCCUCUGGGCGACAUCCACGUCCUUUCAAUUGGUAUCAGAGAUAGGUCUCUCGUUAUUAGGUUUUACCACCUACAGAGUAAGGAUGUCGAGUAGGCGAUUGGGAUUCUCUAACACUCUUAGUUUUAAUGGCACAAAUUUUGAUGUUUGGGUAAUUUACAUGCUUAAUCUCUUUAGGGUCAUGGACCCAAAUUUAGAGUGAAUCGUAGAUGUGGGUUUUUUUUCCUCCAAAGGAUUCUCAAAACAUAUAUUUAGAGGAUGAGAAAAACUCUUAUCUCAAUGCUCAAGCUUCUAAUGUGCUUUUUGAAUCUUUGAGCAAUGUGGUUAUAUUUCAACUCAUGUCAUUCUGGGAUGCUCAUUAGUUGUGUACAAAGCUUCAAGAUAAAUAUGGUGUGUCCAAGAUUUGUAGGGAUGAUUUUUCUCCCUCCACCUCCGGCCGUGUUGUAUUCUCAACUUCAUCUACUUCACCUACAUGUCGAUUUCCACAAGGUAAUGAUAUGGUGAGUAGUGGUGAUCAUUGCAAUGAUGAUAGUGGGCUUAUUGUUAAUGAUACUUCAUCACUAUCAUAUUGUAAUGCUUCAUCUUUGGGCGUUAACACUUCGAGCACUCUAAAUGUUUUACAUGCCUGUGUUGAUAGUCCUUGCAUAUCAUGUAAAAACUGCUUGACUAAAUCUCAUGAUGAUAUGCUUUCUAUAUCUUGUUGCCAUGAUAAAAAUGUAUCUAUUUCCUCAAGUUGUUGUGCUAGCAAUGUAGAGGAAAUCCAUCACUCCAUGUAACAAGAUGUGGCCUUUAAUGAUGCUUCAAGGGAUCCUUCAACAUCAUCUAUUGUUUCUCAUUUUCGCCUUAUGGCUAAGGCUUCAAAGGUAUCUCCUACUUUUGAAUCCCAACAUAUCUCAUGAUGAUGAUGUGGAUGAAACUGUGGAUGGAGAUAAUGAUGAAGAGAGUGAUAAUAUUGCAUCCUUAAAACAUAAGGGUGAAAUGAUUUUUAAACCUCUUCAUAAGAAUAAUCUUGCUCAUUCCAACUUCAUGGAAAUCAUGUCUAUUGCCAUUGAGGGCAAGAAAUAUAUUGAGGAGUUGGAAGCUCAUCUUGAGGAGCAUGAGGCCACCAUUGAGACAAUGGAAGGUCAUGAGCGUGAUUACGCUAAUGAGAUAGCAGAGCUAUCCCAAGGUCUUGAAAAUGAACAAACCACCAAGAAAUCUCUUGACGAGACCUUUUCUAUAGAAUUAUAUAGAUUAAAGGAAACCCAUGAUAAAGCUCUCGAGGCGGCUAAUGAUUUUAGAACUAAAACUUAUAAGCUUGAAGUUGCUCAUGCUAGAAUCCUUGAGGACUAUGAGCACCUCGAAAAUGGCUCAAGGGCUAUGAAGAGUUUGAUCAUCGAACUCACUGAUUUUCAUGCUCAAUUUGGAGCUUCAUAUGCAAAUGAGCUUGCCAAGUUGCCUUCUCCUCUUGUUGUUGAUAAUAAUGCCUGUGCUUCUAUCUCUAUUUCUUGUGAAUCAUCCAUAUUAAAGGAGAAUGUUGAGCUAAGGGCUCAACUUGAGUUGCUAUCUAGCAAUUAUGGGAAAUUGGCAGAAAGUCAUGCAAUGCUCACAAGCUCUCAUGAUGAUCUCCUAGUAUCCCAUAAUAUGCUAAAAUUAGCUCAUGAGGCUAUUACUACCAAGGUAACAUCAAGUGAGCCUCAUGUGGACAUUAGCACUACUUCUAGUCAAAAUGCUAUAUUGCCAUGUGCUAGUCCUCGUAAAUCAUCUACUCAUAAUGUUGCUACAUCUUGUGAUGAAUUACUUUCCUUACAUUGUUUCUCGAACAAUGAUGCUUAUAAUUCCUCGAGUACUUGUGUUGAUACUAACCAUGAAGAGGAAAUCAAAGAGCUCAAGUCCCAAGUCACUUCUUUGAAGAAAGACUUCCAAAAGAGUCAUGAAGGGAUGUCCACACUCAACAAUAUCCUGUGUGGGAAAAAAUCCCAAAAUGGCAAAGGUGGACUUGGAUUCAACUCCAAUAAGAAGAAGAAGUCCAAGAGCAACAAUAAGAAGGGCCAAGAACAAAUCAAGAACUCGGCCAAGAUUGCUUGCUUCAAGUGCAAGAUUGAAGGGCAUCAUGUUAGAUCUUUCCCAUUGAAGAAGAAGCCGCAUAGUCACAAGCAACAAGGGAAGCGGCCACAAGUUCAAUUACAUGCUCAACCACAAGUUCAAGAAAGUCUACUUCCCAAGAAUAUCCAAGUAAACGCUCCUCAAAUUAAGAAAUCAAUUGAGAAGAAAGUAAAGGGUAGGUGUUGCUACUUAUGUCGUGAGAAGGGUCACUUCGUCUCUUCAUGCACGAACAGUAACUUAUCCAACCCAAUCAUUAUUGAUGAUAUCUAUUCUGUUGGGAAGGAUAAAGUUGUCAAUGUGUUUGCCAAGUUUGUUGGUACUCCAAGUGGUGUCAAGAAAAGAACCAUUUGGGUAGCCAAUCCUAUUGUGACUAACCUCUUAGGUCCCAACUUGGUUGGGGACCCACAAACUCAAACUUUAUCAAUAGGUGAUGUUUGAAGGCAUUAGAGACUUUGCUAAAUUAUGAACAAUUAAGGGAUCUUCAUCAUUAAAAUUAUCUCAAGCCAAGUCAUUUGGAUGAUCGAGUUUCCAUCUUAUAUCCAACGUGCCUCCUUACGGUAACUUGUACUUAAAUUGGUUACAUUGUUAGUUACUUUCUCCUAUGCGUGUUGUGGUUUUUGCCUUGCAUGUGCUUGUAUAUAUUGUGCUUCCAACUUGCUUAUCUUGAGUAUUCAAGUAUGUGUAUAUUGGUUUGCACAUCUUGUACAUGUGAGUUUUGUGUUGAGACUUUUUGCAUUGCUUGUAUCUUAGUUGGCUCUUUUGAGAUAUUAAUGGAUUAUCGCAUUGUGGGGGAGUGAUGUGCUUUGCGCACCUCACAAUCCUAUAAAUGUGUAUAUAUGAGGAAUACCACUUAGUAUUGAUAUUUGAAGAUUAUCUAGUCUCUAUGUGGUAUGUCUUACUCAUGAGAAAUUCAAAUUCUAAAUGGUCCAUUAAUUAUCUCUUGUUGGUUUUCAUUUUCCACUUGUUAAUAAUAUUAGGUUAUCACAUUAUGAGGGAGUAAUAUGCUAUGUGCAUAUUACAAGCCUAGAAAAUGUGUAUAUUUGAGGUAUUGCCACUUAGUGUUGAUAUUGUAGAUUAUCUAGUUCCUGGGUGCCAUGUUAGCUCUACAAGUGUGAGUUCCUUGCAUUUUAGGAGUAAAGAUGAUGUUGGAUAUUUUUGCAAUCUACCAAUGGAAAUUGUUUCCAAAUACUUCUUAUCCUUUGACAAUUGGUAUUCCCAUCAUGUGGUAGAAAUUGCUAAUCAUCUUUACAUUGGAUUUUAUGUAUCGUUUGUCUUCCUUGCCUCUUCUCGAUUGGUUUGAACAUGUCUUGUGUUUCUACAGAUAUAGAAAAAGUGAUGAUACCAUCUGGUGUUGUCGGCGAUGCUAGGUCGACACCUAUGGUGAUCAUCAUGCUACCCUUGUGAUCGUAGGGCGGGGGAAGACAACGUCAAGAGCAGAUCUAACGAUCAACACCUGGCAUGCAUUUUUACCCAGGUUCGGGCCGCUUAUGCGUAAAACCCUAUGUUAUGCUCGUCUGAUCGUAUUAAGCAUUUUUCGUUGUUUGUUACAGUCAUGAUAACCGUCUUCUUGGCCAAUCUCUAAAAAGUCCAACCCCUUGUGAAUGAGCUAAGGGCUGAUACAUCUCAAACGUAUCUAUAAUUUUUGAUGGUUUCACGUUGUUAUCUUGCCUUCUUUGUAUUUUUUAUGUACCUUUUUAUAUCUUUUUGGGACUAACUUAUUAAUUCAGUGCCAAGUGCCAGUUCCUGUUUUUUCCGUGUUUUUCACUCUUUUCAGAUCUGAUUAUGGAACGGAGUCCAAACGGAAGAAAAACCCCGAAAUGAUUUUUUUCCCGAACGGAAGAAGUCCAGGUGGCUUUUGGGCCAAGCCAGGUGGGCUCCAGGGAGCCCACAAACCCCCACUCUGCCACCAGGGGGGAGGCGGCGGUGGGCAGGCUUGUGGCCUCCCUGGCCGCCCCCUGAGCUAGGUGUUUGGCCUAUAAAUUCCCAAAUAUUCCGCAAAAAAUUAGGGGAGCUUCAAAAAUACUUUUUCACCGUCGCAAGCUUCCGUUUCCGCGAGAUCUCAUCUGGAGACCCUUCCUGGCACCCUGCCGGAGGGGACUUUGGAGUUGGAGGGCUUCUUCAUCAUCAUCAUUGCCCCUCCAAUGACUCGUGAGUAGUUCAGUUCAGACCUACGGGUCCGUAGUUAGUAGCUAGAUGGGUUCUUCUCUCUCUUGGAUCUUCAAUACAAAGUUCUCCAUGAUCUUCAUGGAGACCUAUCCGAUGUAAUCUUCUUUCGUGGUGUGUUUGUCGAGAUCCGAUGAAUUGUGGACUUGUGAUCAGAUUAUCUAUGAUUUAUAUUUGAGACUUUGCUGAUUUCUUAUAUGCAUGAUUUGAUAUCCUUGUAAGUCUCUCCGAGUCUUGGGUUUUGUUUGGCCAACUAGAUCUAUGAUUCUUGCAAUGGGAGAAGUGAUUGGUUUUGGGUUCUGCCAUGUGGUGACCUUUCCCAGUGACAGUAGGGGCACCAAGGCACACAUCAAGAAGUUGCCAUCAAGGGUAAAAAGAUGGGGUUUUUAUCAUUGGUUUGAUAUUAUCCCUCUACAUCAUGUCAUCUUUCUUAAGGCGUUACUCUGUUCUUAUGGACUUAAUACACUAGAUGCAUGCUGGAUAGCGGUCGACGAGUGGAGUAAUAGUAGUAGAUGCAGAAAGUAUCGGUCUACUUGUUUCGGACGUGAUCCCUAUAGAAAUAAUCAUUGCAUAGAUAUCGUCACGACUCUGCACAGUUCUAUCAAUUGCUAGACAGUAAUUUGUUCACCCUCCGUCUAUUUGCUUUCAUGAGAGAAGCCACUAGUAAACACUACGGCCCCCGGGUCUAUUCACAUCCAUCGUUUACAACUCCGCUUUUACUUUUCUUUGUUACUUUGUUGCUUUCAAUUCUCACUUGGCAAACAAUCUAUAAGGGAUUGACAACCCCUUCAUAGCGUUGGAUGCAAGCUAUUUGUGUUUGUGCAGGAUCUUGAGAUACUCUUCCGCCGGAUUGAUACCUUGGUUCUCAAACUGAGGGAAAUACUUAUCGUCGUUGUGCUACAUCACCCUUUCCGCUUCGAAGGAACACCAACGCAAGGCUCCAAGGCCACGGGGGAAAUCCUUUGCUACUUGCCUAGGAAGUCCCUUAAGGCGUAGAUGUAGCUGAAGGAUUCCUGGUGCCGUCGACACAACUAUUUCUGGCGCCGUUGCAAUGGAUACACAGCAAACAUCAAGGGCUUCCUUUUAUAAGCAAAGAGGUCACCUACAGUACUUGAUGGUAGGAUCACGAGAUGUUACAGUGAACCUAGAGCGGUGCUUAUCCAUCUACCGCUGUCAGGUGCAUUAAAUGCACGUCUUGUUCUUGUCAGCUAAGUGCUGUUGAAGACAUGUGUCCAGGUGUUUCGACACCUGGACGCCCUGCUGGCGCAUGUGGAAUGCGGGGGAGGUGGCACUGUGGCAAGGGCGGUCGCCCUUAGUGCCUUGCCAGGUCAUCUCGACAAGGGUGCUUGCCGGGGUCUUGGGUCUUCCUCCCGGUGAGGAAGAUUACCGGGGGGGCUUCGGCUGUCUUCCUGGUGAGGGAGGCUUGUCGGGGUCUUGUGCUUGGUGCGCUCAUCGCGUCCAUUAAACAGACAUGGCCUUGGAUGUCUUCCCGGCAAGGCAGGCUUGCCGGGGCCUUGGAUAUCUUGGGGGUGCGUCUUGUCUGGACUUUGCCACACCCUGCCGUCAGGGGCUCUUUGCGCCCGUGCACAAGUCUGGGGCACUAAAUACCCCAGUCUUUAGUGCACCGACAGGAGCUCCCGGGCCAGGGCCACACACAUGUGCGGAGCGUUGUUGGGCCAGCGCCAAAGAGGUGCACGAGCCUCUGUGGCUGGAUCUGUUCGCGGUUGCCUUUCCCCAUGCCGCGCAUCGGAUGCACAAAGUGGGAGAUCAUGCGCGGAGUGGCCUCUCCGCCUCCUGAAACGCCUCUGCCACGUGCGUGGCAUGCGCAGUCAUUGAUGGACAGGUGGCAGACGAGGCCUAAAAGGCGCAGUAGUGGUUGGGCCCACCCGUGCAUGCAUUGGCGCAUCGAGGCGGUUCUCUGUUCGCCCGUGAGCUCGAGCGAUUGGUCCUAGAGGGUGGUGGCUUCUGGAGUGAGGGAGGCUAGCCCCCGCGCCCUGUCCUAUAAAUUGGGAGGGUUUGCGAGGGGUUUUGCUCACUCAACUUCUCCUGGAUCCACCAACUCUUCAGCCUUGGUUCUUCGAAUCUUCGACUGUCUGCUGGUGGCACUUGCCCCUAACCAUGGUUAGGGGACGGGGUCGGCCACCGUCGGCCGUGAGGGCGGCGAGGGGAUCCCGUUCGGAUCAUGCCACAGCUUCUAAGGGUGCCGCGACGGAAGACGGACGGGACGCCCGUGGUGGAGGAAAGGCGAGGGGCCGAGGUCGCCACGGAGGUCAAGGCCGGGGGAGGCGGAGCGCUACUCCAACGUAUCCUCCUUCCCGGGGCUUGCUCCUGUGGCGGCCCUCCAUGUUGAUUUAGGGGCCCCACGUGUGCUUAUCGAUGGCUGCGAAGGGAGCCCGAGCGACGCCAAUUGUCCUGCCUCGAUCGCUAGCGACGAGGAGGACAGUGGCGGCGGCGAGGUUUGUGUUGGGUUAGCGCCAUGGGGCAUCAGACUGGAUGUGGACCCCCGGGCCCCAACUAGACGUAGAACGCCCCAUCAUGGUUGGCUCACGGCUCGCCCCCGCCCGACGGGGGCGGCUUGCCUUAGCUGGCGUUGGUGCCUCGUGUUUGAGGAGGAGGCACCUCCACCAGCUCUGACUUCUCCACGUCCCCUGCUUGGGGCACCUAACCGGAGCGGGUAUUGGUCCCCCGGCUCCGGGAGGAGGCGCGCCCACCGGUUCCGGAUCCUUCGCCCCUUCAUGUGCCCCGCCCUCUGCAUCUCGGCUGGAGGGGGGCCACGCCACGCCCGUGGGGCCGGUCUCGUUCUCGCUGGCUCAGGGCCGACCCUGGGCGGCCAGUUCUGACCGCGUCGUCGGCUCCGCGUUUUUAUCUUUUUGAACUUCACUCCUCCGCGCGGGUCGGUCCUCGUCAAAAGACACGRUCUUUAGGUUAGUACAACCACGCUUUGUAAGUGAAGCCAACUUUAUCCAUUCAUAUGAACAAAAAAGACUGUUUUUCCUUUUUUCGAUUCCGUUCUUUGUAUGAUUCAUUUUUGCAUAAUCUCGGAGCUUGCAGGAGACUACCGGCAAGGCUCCUUGAUGCGUUCGAUGCAACCAUGGAAAUCGCCAACCGCAGCUUGAGACAAAAUCGGGUGCUACGUAGCCGCUUGCUGAGUUGAUCAGGUUCGCAACUGUUUGAAGGCGCUCUGUGGCCAUUCAGGUCGUUUGAACGAGUUCGAAACAAAGACAAGGUUCACCGAACUUUCGGAAGGUCCUAGUACUCGCAAACUCCUCACACAAAGAUUGGAAACUUUUGAAGGGAAAAAGCAAAGGAUCUAUCUACUUCAAAUCUGAAUCUCGAACUUAAAAACUUAUCUGUCCAUGCCGUGAUUGUGAGGCACUUGAAUCUUUUGUCGGAGYCUUUGGAAAGCGGGAAAUCACCGCUCCUUGUGGUCUCUUCUCUGGCAAGGACUUCUCCCCGACGGUCCGUGACUGUCGCUUGGAGAAAGAGCCAGCUAGGGUGUAACCCCUUUGCUUUUCUCUGUUGGAUAGCUCUUGUCGUUGUGAAUUCAACAAGCUUKYKUUUGCUCGAUUCGGAGUUCGUAUGCAAGAGUUAGAGCAGUUUCAGUAUACAGAGGUAGCACCGCUCAUGGUGCGAGCGGUAGUACCGGUCCUGGAGCGGUAGUACCGCCCCUGAAGCGGUAGUAAUUUUUGACUACCGCUCCCGGGCGGUAGGACUACUCCCUUAGACGUUCUGGGAGCGGUAGUACCACUCCGAGCAGCGGUAGUACCGCUCCAGUCGGGCUGUGAGUGGGGGUAACGGUUGGAUUCGUUCCCCACUAUAUAGAGGAUGUCUUCUUCCCCAUUGGACCUUAUCUAUCCGUUGAGCUCGUAUUAUUCCCCCAUUGUUUACCUUCUUAGAGCUUCAAGAUAAAUAUGGUACAUACAAGAUUUAUGGGAAUGAUUGUUCUCCCUCCACCUCCGGUCGUGUGGUCUUCUCAACUUCAUCUACUUCACCUACACGUGGAUUGCCACAGGGUAAUGAUAUGGUGAGUAGUGGACAUCAUUGCAAUGAUGAUAGUGGGCUUAUUUUUGAUGAUCCUUAUCACUAUAAUAUUGCAAUGCUUCAUCUUUUGGCAUUAACACUUUGAGCACUCUAAAUAUUUUACAUGCCUGUGUUGAUAGUCCGUGCAUAUCAUGUAAAAACUUCUUGACUAAAUCUCAUGAUGAUAUGCUUUCUAUAUCUUGUUGCCAUGAUAAAAAUGUAUCUAUUUCCUCGAGUUGUUGUGCUAACAAGGUAGAGGAAAUCCAUCACUCUUCGGAACAAGAUGGGGCCUUAAAUAAUGCUUCAAGGGAGCCCACAUCAUCAUCUAUAGUUUGUCACUUUUGCCUUAUGGCUAAGGCUUCAAAGGUAUCUCCUACUUUGAAUCCCAAUAUAUCUCAUGAUGAUUAUGUUGAUGAUAAUAAGUAUGAGGAUAAAGAUGAAGAGAGUGAUGAUAUUCCAUCCUUAAAAAUUAAGGGUGAAAUGAUUUUUAAAUCUCUUUAUAAGAAUAAACUUGCUUGUUCCAACUUCAUGGAAAUCAUGUCUAUUACCAGUGAGGGCAAGAAAUAUAUUGAGGAGUUGGAAGAUCAUCUCGAGGAGCAUGAGGCCACCAUUCAGAGAAUGGAAGGUCAUGAGCGUGAUUAUGCUAAUGAGAUCGCGGAGCUAUCUCAAGCUUCUGAAAAUGAACAAACCACUAAAGAAUCUCUUGAGGAGACCUUUGCUCUAGAAUUAUCUAGAUUAAGGGAAUCUCAUGAUAGAGCUCUCGAGUUGGCUAAUGAUUCUAGAAAUAAAAAUGAUAAUCUUGAAGUUGCACAUUCUAAACUCCUUGAGGACUAUGAGCACCUUGAAAAUGGCUCAAGAGCUAUUAAGAGUUCGCUCAUCGAACUCACCGAGUCUCAUUCUCAACUUGAAGAGUCAUAUGCUAAAGGUCUUGCCAAGUUGCCUUCUCCUCUUAUUGUUAAUAAUUAUGCUUGUGCUAGUAACUCUAUUUCUUCUGAAGCAUCCAUUUUAAAGGAGAAUGUUGAGCUAAGGGCUCAACUUGAGUUGUUAUCUAGCAAUUAUGGGAAAUUGGAAGAAAGUCAUGUAAUGCUCACAAGCUCUCAUGAUGAUUUUCUAGUAUCCCAUAAUGUGCUUAAAUUAGCUCAUGAGGUUACUACUACCAAGGUAACAUCAAGUAAGCCUCAUGUGGACAUUAGCACUACUUCUAGUCAAAAUGCUAUAUUGCCAUGUGCUAGUCCUCAUAAUUCAUCUACUCAUAAUGUUGUUACAUCUUGUGAUGAAUUACUUUCCUUGCCUUGUUGCUAUAACAAUGAAGCUUAUACUUCCUCUAGUACUUGUGUUUAUACUAACCAUGUAGAGGAAAUCGAAGAGGUCAAGGCCCAAGUCACUUCAUUGAAGAGAGAUUUGGAAAAGUGUCAGGAUGGUAUGUACACACUCAACAAUGUCUUGUGUGGGAAAAAAUCCCCAAUUGACAAAGGUGGACUUGGAUUCAACUCUAAGAAGAAUAACAAGUCCAAAAGCUUCAAUAAGAAGGGCCAAGAACAAGUCAAGAAUUCUGCCAAGAUUGUUUGCUUCAAAUGCAAAAUUGAAGGGCACCAAGUUAGAUCUUGCCCAUUAAAGAAUAAGCCCCAAAGUCACAAGCAACAAGGGAAGCGCCAACAAGUUCAAUCACAUAUUCAACUUCAAGUUGAAGAAAAGUCUCUUCCCAAGAAGACCCAAGCCAACAUUCCUCAAGUUGAGAAAUCAUUUGGGAAGAAAGUAAAGGGUAGAUGUUGCUACUUAUGCCGCGAGAAGGGUCACUUUGCUUCUUCUUGCACGCGAGAUAAUUUAUCCAACCUAAUCAUUAUUGAUGAUAUCUAUUCUCUUGGGAAGGAUAAGAUUGGCAAUGUGUUUGCCAAGUUUGUUGGUACUCAAAGUGGUGUCAAGAAAAUAACCAUUUGUGUAGCCAAGCCUAUUGUGACAAACCUCUUAGGACCCAACAUGGUUGGGGACCAACAAGCUCAAACUUGAUCAAUAGGUGAUCAUGGAGGACAUUGGCGACUUGGUUUCAUCUUGAAGAAUUAAGGGACUUUCAUAAUUCAUAUUAUCUCAAGUCAAGUCAUUUGGAUUAUCGAGUUUCUUUCUUAUAUCCAAUGUGCCUCGUUACAGUAACUUGUACUUAAAUUGGUUACAUUGUUAGUUACUUUCCCCUUUGCAUAAUGUGGUCUUGUACCAUGCAUAUGUUUGUAUAUGUUGUGCUUCCAACUUGCUUAUCUUGAGUAAUCAAGUAUGUGUAUAUCGGUUUGCACACCAUGUACAUCUGAGUCUUGUAUUGAGCCUCUUUGCAUCAUGUUUGUAUCUUUGUUGGCUCUUUUGAGAGAUUAAUGGAUUAUCCCGUUGUGGGGAAAUGAUGUGCUCUGCGCACCUCACAAUCCGAUAAAUGUGCAUACAUGAGUAAUACCACUUAAUAUUAAUAUUACAAGUUUAUCUAGUCUCNNNNNNNNNNNNNNNNNNNNNNNNNNNNNNNNNNNNNNNNNNNNNNNNNNNNNNNNNNNNNNNNNNNNNNNNNNNNNNNNNNNNNNNNNNNNNNNNNNNNCAUGAUGCAUAUGUAGAUAGUUCUGAUGUAAGUCUUGCUGAGUACCUUUGUACUCACUGUUGCUUUAUUUAUGUUUUUGCAGAGAAGUUUUAGACUCAUUAUAAGGUUCUAAGCGAUGUGUUCGAUGUUGACCGGAAUAGCUUGGGAAUCCCAGACUGAGGUCUGGCUCCUUUGGUAGGGUUGUAGUAGCUUUUCAGGCUCUUCCAACCAUUUUUAGUAGAUGUCUGUACCGAGACAUGUUUUGCUUCCGCUUGUUGUUUGUAUGACUUGAGUGUCGGGUCACGGGACCCCUUUUUGUAAUAACACACUAUGUUGAUUAUGAUGAGUCCUUAAUAAAAGCUUGAGUCAUAGAGUUAUGUUGUGAUGCCAUGUUGUAUCUACACAUAUCGUGCAUAUUCUGUGUAUGUUAUGAAAUGCAUUAUAUGUGUGGGAUUCGACACCUAGUUGUGUGCCUCUAGUAGUACUCUUUAUAGGGAAAUGCCUAUUUGUGCUUCUAUCGAGCCUUGGUAGCUUGCUACUGCUCUAGACACAUUGAUUGACCGGCGUGUAUCCUUSUUUGCUGCUGUGUCUGUCCCCUCGGGGAAAUGUCACGCGGUGUAAUGGAGCCCUUGUAGCUUGCUACGACUCGUCUACACACGUUGUUGAUCGACACCUGCUUUGCUGGGUUAUGUAUGUCUGUCCCUGUACGGAUGUACCUCUUGGGUUUAUAACUAGUCAUGUCGACCCGGGUUCUUUGUCCUUUGAACGCUAGCAACAUAUUCAUAUACGUGAGCCAAAAGACACAAACGGUCCCGGCCAAGGUAAGGUGGCAGCCGUGGAGUUUGCCGUGCGUGAGGCCGCAAAGUGAUGUGAUGUGUUACAGGCUGGGUUCUUAUGACUCAGGAUCGGGGUCCCGACAAUGGAGUUGAGCACCAUGUUUAAGUAGAGAUUACAGCGGGGAAGAGAGGUGUUACACCGCUGCAAAGGAGGGGAGAGAGUUCGUGUUUACGGCGGCAUGAUUGUUGGUGUAGAUUGUCGUCACGAUGAUUCGCCCCGGUGAAACUCUUGCACCUGAGGAGAGAGGGGGAGAGACCCCCCCUACUUCUUAUUCUUCCUUGGCCUCCCCUAGAUCGUAGGAGAGUUCCCUCUCUAGUACAUGGCCUCCAUGGCGGCGGAGGGGCGGUAUCCCCUCCGAGAUUGGAUCUCCCUCUGUAUUCUCUUUUGUUUCGCGUUCCUCUCACGUCUCUGUUUUCUAGCCGAAACCGUUUCUUAUAUUCCCGGAGAUCCGUAACUCCGAUCGGGCUGAAAUUUUCAGGGGAUUUUUAUCCAAAAUUUUUAUUCUUUGCGCCCAAAGGAGAGCUCCAACUGACACACAUGGUGAGCACCACCCACCAGACCGCACGAAGGCCCCUGGGUGCGCCCUGGUGUCUUGUGCUCUCGAUGGGCCUCCGUUUGCGUUGCUUCCACUUCUCAAACUUCACAAAUAUUCCAAAAACAAAAUCUCCAUAAAUGUUUAUUGCGUUUGGACUUUGUUUGAUAUGGAAUUUUUGCGAUACAAAAAACACACAAAAAAUAGGAACUAGCACUAGGCACUGGAUAAAUAGGUUAAACCAAUAAAUCAUAUUAUUUGUUGCCAAAAGUUUGUGAAAGUUGUAUAAUAUUGACAUGAAACAAUCAAAAAUUAUAGAUACGACGGAGACGUAUCAGCAUCCCCAACCUUAAUUCCUACUCGUCCUCGAGUAGUUAAAUGAUAAAAAAGAUAAUUUUUGAUGUGGAAUGCUACCUAGCACAAUCUUGAUCAUAUGUCUAAUCAUGGCAUGAAUAUUAAGAUACAAGUGAUUCAAAGCAAUAGUCUAACAUUUGACAAGAAAACAUCCAUACUCAGGUUUACUAGCAAACAAUCAUGUCCUUUCAAAAUAACAAUGAUGAUAAAAGCUAUCCCUAAAAAAUCAUAUAGCCUAUCAUGCUUGGUCUUCCAAGCAUAAAGUAAAAUCAUGAGCACCACGGUGUCAAACCAAGCAAUUGGAUCGUGCUUUUUAACGCGCUUCAACCUUGUAUUACUCACUCAAUACAUGAGUGUGAACCAUGGAUAUAGCAUAAAGGUGGAAUAGAAUAUGGUGGUAAGUUUCAAAGGGGUAAAAGUGGAGCAGAAAGUCUCGCAUCAAUUCAGCGUAUCAACGGGCUAUGGAGAUGCCCAUCAAUAGAUAUCAAUGCAA
rnacentral:lncRNA from 1 species